CAGCUCUUCAAGUGGUCGGGAUUAUUAUUGGGCUUAAAGUGUCCGUAGCCGGUAUAGUAAGUUCCUGGUUAAAUCGGAUAGCUCAACUAUCUGUUGGCUAGGAAUACUGCUAUACUAGGAGGCGGGAGAGGUCUGAGGUACUCCAGGGGUAGGGGUGAAAUCCUAUAAUCCUUGGGGGACCACCAGUGGCGAAGGCGUCAGACUGGAACGCGCUCGACGGUGAGGGACGAAAGCCAGGGGAGCGAACCGGAUUAGAUACCCGAGUAGUCC
rnacentral:rRNA from 1 species